GAAGUCGGCCAGACCGUCGCGGUGCGCAAGCAUCGAGGAAAGUCCGGGCUGCACAGGGCAGGGUGCCAGAUAACGUCUGGGCGGCGAGAGCCGACGGAAAGUGCAACAGAGAACAGACCGCCGAACGGCGUCGCAAGACGUGCGUGGUCAGGGUGAAACGGUGCGGUAAGAGCGCACCGCGCGCGGGGUCAACGCCGCGUGGCAUGGCAAACCCCAUCCGCAGCAAGAUCAAAUAGGGGAACGAUACGGCGGCCCGUCGUGUUCCCGGGUAGAUCGCUUGAGGUACGUGGUGACACGUUGCCCAGAGGAAUGACGGUCCACGACAGGACCCGGCUUAUCGGCCGGCUUCGCAC
rnacentral:RNase_P_RNA from 1 species